rnacentral:rRNA from 1 species
AUUGAACGCUGGCGGCAUGCUUUACACAUGCAAGUCGAACGGCAGCGCGGGCUUCGGCCUGGCGGCGAGUGGCGAACGGGUGAGUAAUACAUCGGAACGUGCCCAGUAGUGGGGGAUAGCUCGGCGAAAGCCGGAUUAAUACCGCAUACGACCUGAGGGUGAAAGCGGGGGAUCUUCGGACCUCGCGCUAUUGGAGCGGCCGAUGGCAGAUUAGCUAGUUGGUGGGGUAAAGGCCUACCAAGGCGACGAUCUGUAGCUGGUCUGAGAGGACGACCAGCCAUACUGGGACUGAGACACGGCCCAGACUCCUACGGGAGGCAGCAGUGGGGAAUUUUGGACAAUGGGCGAAAGCCUGAUCCAGCAAUGCCGCGUGUGUGAUGAAGGCCUUCGGGUUGUAAAGCACUUUUGGCGGGAACGAAAAGGACUGUGCCAAUACCACGGUUCGAUGACGGUACCCGCAGAAUAAGCACCGGCUAACUACGUG